rnacentral:rRNA from 1 species
CCUACGGGAGGCAGCAGUGAGGAAUAUUGGUCAAUGGGCGAGAGCCUGAACCAGCCAAGUCGCGUGAGGGAGUACUGCCCUAUGGGUUGUAAACCUCUUUUGUCGGGGAGCAAAAGCCGGACGUGUCCGGCUGUGAGAGUACCCGAAGAAAAAGCAUCGGCUAACUCCGUGCCAGCAGCCGCGGUAAUACGGAGGAUGCGAGCGUUAUACGGAUUUAUUGGGUUUAAAGGGGGCGCAGGCGGAUUUGUAAGUCAGCGGUAAAAUCGUGGGGCUCAACCCCAUCCAGCCGUUGAAACUGGGGAUCUAGAGUGUGCGAGAGGUAUGCGGAAUGCGUGGUGUAGCGGUGAAAUGCAUAGAUAUCACGCAGAACCCCGAUUGCGAAGGCAGCAUACCGGUGCACAACUGACGCUCAGGCACGAAAGCGUGGGUAUCGAACAGGAUUAGAUACCCCUGUAGUC